UACGGGGGAGCAAGCGUUGUUCGGAUUUACUGGGCGUAAAGGGCGCGUAGGCGGCCUACUAAGUCAGACGUGAAAUCCCCCGGCUUAACCUGGGAACUGCGUCUGAUACUGGAAGCUUGAGGAUGGGAGAGGGAUGUAGAAUUCCAGGUGUAGCGGUGAAAUGCGUAGAUAUCUGGAGGAAUACCGGUGGCGAAGGCGGCAAUCCUGGACCAUUACGUGACGCU
rnacentral:rRNA from 1 species